CCCUCCCCAUGCCAACUCUCUAAUCUAGAAAUUUUUGGAUGCCCAAAAAAGUUUGUGGCAUGGAGUAUAUGGCACCCUCCCUUGGAUGAAACCCUAAUUCCAAGUCUAUAUAAAGGAGUCUCCUCUCCUUUGGCAUCAUGUUUGAUCAAUUUUCUUACUAUUUUUUGAUUUUCCAGAGCUUAUUUCCUCCUCCUCUUUUUCUUCUCCAGAUCCUCUACUGCUUUGGAGUGUCCAAAGUGCUUGUAGAAG
rnacentral:lncRNA from 1 species